rnacentral:rRNA from 1 species
AUACGGAGGGAGCGAGCGUUAAUCGGAAUUACUGGGCGUAAAGCGCGCGUAGGCGGCUACUUAAGUCAGAUGUGAAAUCCCCGGGCUCAACCUGGGAACUGCAUCUGAUACUGGGUAGCUAGAGUUUAGGAGAGGGAAGUAGAAUUUCAGGUGUAGCGGUGAAAUGCAUAGAGAUCUGAAGGAAUACCAGUGGCGAAGGCGACUUCCUGGCCUAAAACUGACGCUGAGGUGCGAAAGCGUGGGUAGCAAACGGGAUUAGAAACCCCAGUAGUCC